GUAUAAGAGACAGCAGCCGCCGCGGUAAUACAGAGGGUGCGAGCGUUAAUCGGAUUUACUGGGCGUAAAGCGUGCGUAGGCGGCUUCUUAAGUCGGAUGUGAAAUCCCUGAGCUUAACUUAGGAAUUGCAUUCGAUACUGGGAAGCUAGAGUAUGGGAGAGGAUGGUAGAAUUCCAGGUGUAGCGGUGAAAUGCGUAGAGAUCUGGAGGAAUACCGAUGGCGAAGGCAGCCAUCUGGCCUAAUACUGACGCUGAGGUACGAAAGCAUGGGGAGCAAACAGGAUUAGAGACCCCAGUAGUCCCUGUCUCUUAUAA
rnacentral:rRNA from 1 species